rnacentral:rRNA from 1 species
UACGUAGGGUGCGGGCGUUGUCCGGAAUUAUUGGGCGUAAAGGGCUCGUAGGCGGUUUGUCGCGUCGGGAGUGAAAACCUCGGGCUUAACUCGGGGCUUGCUUUCGAUACGGGCAGACUAGAGGUAUGCAGGGGAGGACGGAAUUCCUGGUGUAGCGGUGAAAUGCGCAGAUAUCAGGAGGAACACCGGUGGCGAAGGCGGUUCUCUGGGCAUGAUCUGACGCUGAGAAGCGAAAGUGUGGGGAGCGAACAGG